AAAUUGCCUAGAGAAAAGGUCCAGUUAGCUACAAAAUUUGGCAUUGUUAUCAAGAACUCUGAUUAUGCAAAUGCUUCGGUUAAUGGUAAACCUGAAUAUGUUCGGUCAUGCUGUGAGGCUAGCCUAAAGCGUCUUGGCGUGGAAUAUAUUGAUCUCUACUAUCAACACCGAAUUGACUCUACAGUGCCAAUAGAGGAAACUAUCGGAGAGCUUAAGAAGUUAGUGGAAGAAGGAAAAGUGAAGUACAUUGGAUUAUCUGAAGCAAGC
rnacentral:misc_RNA from 1 species